ACGUGCGGAGCCUAUAAUGCAGUCGACGCUUUGUCUUUAUUGAUCUGACGAGCUUGCUCUGAUUUGAUUUUAUCUGACAAAGAGUGGCGAACGGGUGAGUAACACGUGGGUAACCUACCUCUUAGCAGGGGAUAACAUUUGGAAACAAGUGCUAAUACCGUAUAAUACCAACAACCGCAUGGUUGUUGGUUGAAAGAUGGUUCUGCUAUCACUAAGAGAUGGACCCGCGGUGCAUUAGCUAGUUGGUAAGGUAACGGCUUACCAAGGCAAUGAUGCAUAGCCGAGUUGAGAGACUGAUCGGCCACAAUGGGACUGAGACACGGCCCAUACUCCUACGGGAGGCAGCAGUAGGGAAUCUUCCACAAUGGGCGCAAGCCUGAUGGAGCAACGCCGCGUGUGUGAUGAAGGGUUUCGGCUCGUAAAACACUGUUAUAAGAGAAGAACGGCACUGAGAGUAACUGUUCAGUGUGUGACGGUAUCUUACCAGAAAGGAACGGCUAAAUACGUGCCAGCAGCCGCGGUAAUACGUAUGUUCCAAGCGUUAUCCGGAUUUAUUGGGCGUAAAGCGAGCGCAGACGGUUAUUUAAGUCUGAAGUGAAAGCCCUCAGCUCAACUGAGGAAUGGCUUUGGAAACUGGAUGACUUGAGUGCAGUAGAGGAAAGUGGAACUCCAUGUGUAGCGGUGAAAUGCGUAGAUAUAUGGAAGAACACCAGUGGCGAAAGCGGCUUUCUGGACUGUAACUGACGUUGAGGCUCGAAAGUGUGGGUAGCAAACAGGAUUAGAUCCCUG
rnacentral:rRNA from 1 species